UGUUGGGAUGACAGGUGUGCACCACCACGCCCUGCUCAUUUUGUUUUUAAAGGAAAACUUCUUGCCCUUGAGAGAAGUUUCAAGUGGAAGUUUCAGUGGAUUCAUGAAGGGUCACCUUGGAACGCCAGGCUGAAAUGAGCCGGCCUGGCCGGGUGUGGAAGACCCACCUGGGAUGGUUGCCAACGGCAUAAAGGGAACUGGAGCGGGGAUCUGGGGCUGCUGAUUUUCCUGGAGAAGCUUAAGGUGGAUGGUUUUCCUGAGGCAACCUCGGCCUCCCCUCUCUGUCGGAGGAGGCGCUCAGGUCCUUGCUGCUGUUCCGGUCAGGGGAGCGCUGGUCUUUGCCUUAAACGUUGCUUCCUGGCCCCGGUGCAGCUGGCUCAGCCUGGCGGCACAGACUUUCUCGCUGCCACCAUGGGCCUUUGGGGCUUCCCGGUGCGGACAUCGCCCUGGGUCGCUGCUGUGGGACCCAGGCCCUCGGGUGGAGGCUUCGGGUCUCCAGUUUACGGACAGAUCUCUUGUGCUCCUCUGAGAUUGAUUUUUCCGGUGAAUAUUAUAAAGUAACCCUGUCGAUUACGUGUCCUGUAUUAAAUCUAUUCCCUUGCAAACCCUGACAACAGGAGUGUGUGCAGAUGGGUCAGGUGUAUUUGUGUUUGCUUUGAAACCACAGAAGAGGGGGAAGUGGUGUGUGGUGUGCGCCGAUUGGUUUGGCAAUCAAUGAACGUGUGAUUGUUGUGAUAUUCUGUUUCUGUGUGCUUUCAAAAUUUCCUGUUUGUUUUCCACUCGUGGCAUGGUCUCCCAUUGAUGCCCGGGCUGCCUCCAACUUCUGGCUUCCUUGCUCCUCCUGCCUCGGCUUCCUGAGGGGCUAGGACUACCGGCGUGUGAUACUGUGUGGGCUCAAAAACAGUUUUUACAAAGAGGAACUGAAGCACAGAGAGGUCAAGCAACUGGCUCAAGGUCACACAAAGGGGAGUGGGUGCCGGGCUUUCUAAAGACUUUCUUGAGAGGAUGGAAGUGACUUUCCUGACCUCCAGGGCCGCGUCCUGGCCACCAGCCCGCCGAGCCCUCCUCCUCCCAGCCCCUCCUGCAGCUCUGGAAGGGUUCUGCGCCCCGCCCCCAGGCCUCACCGGGGGACUGGACAGUGAUUGCACCCUGGCCUGGAUUGGCUGACUUGCUCCUAGGGGCAGGGUCUGGGUCGCUGGGGGCGUGGCCCGGAGGGCUCUGGCUCCCUUCUCGGCUUCCAUCAGGUGAGCCGCUGUCCCUUUGCCCAGACCCUUCCGCCAAGACUUCCUGCCUUGGAGCCAGCCAACUAUGGACUGCAAACGAGUGCUCAGGGCAUGGCUGGCCCCUGCCCUGUGGGACUCCAUGAAGAAGGGAAGAAUUACCUGCGAAGGCAAGCACCUGACUCAAGAAGGGACUUCUGUAAGACACUAGAAAGGGUCUUGCUGAGCCCUUAGGUUGCCCAGGCUGAAUCUGAAACUUGGGAUCCUCCUGCCUCAGCCUCUGAGAGUGCUGGGACAACGGGUAUGCACCACCGCAUCAAGCUUGAUCUGUGCUUUUGAAGAAAGACCUUACCCUUGAGACCCUACCUCUGCUCUCUCUCUCACCAGUGAUCUGCACUGAGGGAAUCCACAGGUAUCGUGACUCCCACCUGGGCUUUGGUGAGGCCAAGGGGGACAGGGAGGAACAGUCACAGCCUGGCCCUUAGGAGCCGUACACCCAGCCAGGGCCCAGGCUCAGAGGACAGCACAGGGUGGAGAUCUUGUCACCUUCUGGCCCAAGACCUCCCACUGCCCCGAAGGACUGGGUCAGCACCCCCCACACACAACCUCCUCGUAACUCCUGGGGAUCCAGGCAGCAGCCCCUCUGGAGGCUCAGAUGCCAGAGUCACCCCUGUGAGCAGGCCUCCGCCAGCCCACCUGUCAGCUGCCUGGAUUGGGACCGGAGCCCCAUGUGGCUGCAGCUGCAGGGAGGAGGCCGGAGCCUUGACCACUGGGGCCAGCCAUAGGCCACACACCAGGCACUGAGCAGCUCUGCACAACUCUCAGGCUGGGGAAAGGGCUCGCAGGGUCAGUGCAAUCGAUAUCUCAUCUGUAGCUCUCCUAGCGGAAGUGAUGGCUAUUGGAACGCAGUAAUGGGUGUUGUCUGCUGGAAAAGACUAAUCUUCCCAGCUGUGGAGGGCUCUGCAGGUGGCCCACGCACUGCAGGCUCGCUCUGCGGCUGUCACGGCUGCCGCUGGGGUGGGCUGGGCACUUUUAAAGCCACAGUGGCCAUGCUGCAGCCCGUGUCCACCCAGGCCUCCGGCACAGAGCCCCAGCGGCAAUCCAAGCUGGUCCCCCCAGGCACAGAUGGGGAGACUGAGGCUGGGGGCUUGCCUGAGGCCACAUGCCCAGCCAGACAAGGACCAGAGGGAAGCACCUGCCUGUGGAAACGCAGGCC